ensembl:snoRNA SNORD116 Small nucleolar RNA SNORD116
GGAUCGAUGAUGACUAAAAUUAUGGAUCUCCUUGGAAUCUGAACAAAAUGAGUGACAGAAUCACUUCUGUGGAGCUGAGGUCC